rnacentral:rRNA from 1 species
CCUACGGGAGGCAGCAGUGGGGAAUAUUGGGCAAUGGGCGCAAGCCUGACCCAGCAACGCCGCGUGAAGGAAGAAGGCUUUCGGGUUGUAAGCUUCUUUUCUCGGGGACGACACAAGUGACGAUACCUGAGGAAUAAGCCACGGCUAACUACGUGCCAGCAGCCGCGGGAAUACGUAGGUGGCAAGCGUUAUCCGGAUUUACUGGGUGUAAAGGGUGUGUAGGCGGGGAAGGAAGUCAGAUGUGAAAACCACGGGCGCAACCUGUGGCCUGCAUUUGAAACUGUGUUUCUUGAGUACUGGAGAGGCAGACGGAAUGCCUGGUGUAGCGGUGAAAUGCGUAGAUAUUAGGAGGAACACCAGUGGCGAAGGCGGUCUGCUGGACAGCAACUGACGCUGAGGCGCGAAAGCGUGGGGAGCAAACAGGAUUAGAUACCCCAGUAGUC